ACCGGCGGCGAGGACGGAGCGGUGAGAAGCGGAGAGGACGAGGGACCUGGCGGCCUGGAAGAGCUUCUUGGAGGCGGCGCUCAUGGCUAGGGUUCCUUUGGACUGGGCUAGAGGAUGGCGAUGGAUGGAUGGGCGCCGUGCCGGUGCGGUCGCUCGCUGACGCUCACUUCGACUGAUGAUGUGCGCUGGGUGCUUCCAAUUAAUUAGGCACGCGGAGGGAUGGCGUGGCCACGCGUUAGCCGCUGCGGCCG
rnacentral:lncRNA from 1 species